UACGUAGGGUGCAAGCGUUAAUCGGAAUUACUGGGCGUAAAGCGUGCGCAGGCGGUUGUGCAAGACAGAUGUGAAAUCCCCGGGCUCAACCUGGGAACUGCAUUUGUGACUGCACGGCUAGAGUGUGUCAGAGGGGGGUAGAAUUCCACGUGUAGCAGUGAAAUGCGUAGAGAUGUGGAGGAAUACCGAUGGCGAAGGCAGCCCCCUGGGAUAACACUGACGCUCAUGCACGAAAGCGUGGGGAGCAAACAGG
rnacentral:rRNA from 1 species